rnacentral:misc_RNA from 1 species
AUAUUUAUGUCUUGGUUUUAAUUUGAGGUAUAUAUUGUGAAAAUUAUUUGGGUCAGGGUAGUCGAGGAUGUGUCUCCCCACAACUUGACAUGGUGAGUGACAGUGAUAAGGUGCUGAUAUGGAGAUAACUCAAGUUACAUAAUAUUGAUAAGGCAGAUAACGAAUGUGAAUUUAACUAACGGAUAUUAAGAACACCCCAGACUAUGUUUUAUCAGCAUGAUGUGGAUACAUCCGUCAGGUGUUGACGUUGCUGUCAGCGUCGUUGAUCGUAACUAAAAGUGCAAUAAACAUGAGACAGAGGCCAUAGUUGUGGCUUGUGUGAUGGAUGUGUUGGGGGUGACUGGUGAAGUGGUCAGCCGCCCACACCCAAGCCACCACACAGUGUAUCGCUACGCCCGCCCGCGCUGGAAGGCGGCGGGGACACGCCCGCCAUGCUAAGUUUGGGCGGGCUGCCGGAGGUGGUGGGUCCUGGCGGCCACCGCCGCUCCAAAAGUGACUGCGGCCUGGACAAACGGGACGAGGUUGCCGACCUGGCCACCCUUAACCCCAAUUACCGGAGCACCUCCCCCUCGGGGCAUCUCCGCGCCCAUGGCCACGCCCACACUCGCCCCAAUACGCCCAUCAUGGCGCGGUCUCCGUCCACCUCAUCCAUACCCGAAAUCUUCAUCAGUAGCGAGGACGACAACGGUCCUGGAGUGUCACCCAUCACCCGCCUGGCUGUCUUCUCCCUGGCUGACUUCCUCGAGACAGUCACCCACGCCCAGCACCACCCACGGAAAAAGUGCAGCUCGAGUGAAGUGGGAGGCCCCGGCCAUGGGGGUGGGCGACGGCGCUCGCCCUUGGCCGCCCGCAAGUCGACUCCUGCGGCAGGAGGCGCCAGCGCCGGCGAAGUUACCGCCGCUAACAACACCACUAACAAUUCGACCCCGGGAGGCGGGGCCCUUGGAGGGGUAGGAGGCCAGACCACCUUACACCAGCCCAGAACAGGUGGUGGAGCCGCAGCAUCCCGGCUGGGCAACCCGACGGGGCACCAUGAUGACGCCCCAGCACACUCUUCCAACGAGGACUGUGAUGCUGAAACAGUACCAUCAUCGGGAGUGUCUAAUGGAUCUGGGGAGUUGGUAGAUGCUUUACGAGUUGGUGGAGGAGAUAUUGGGACUGUGGACGAUGGUGAGGAACACACACCACACAUUCAGCGUACGCGAGAAGCCUUGGAGCACAUCCAGGCUAAGAUUCAGAAAACUAAAGAUCUUAUCAAAGAGGAGCAAAAAGCAAGAGAUGAAAAUGUCAAUGAAUACCUUAAACUUGCUGCUAAUGCUGAUCGUCAGCAAAUGGCUCGUAUCAAGGCCGUGUUCGAGAAAAAGAACCAGAAAUCGGCUGCUCUUAUUCAACAACUUCAAAAGAAGCUAGAAAAUUACCAGAAGAGAUUACGUGAAAUUGAAACCCAUGGAUUGAUUGUUGCUCACCGGCAGCCCAAGGAGGUGUUAAGAGAUAUGGGUCAGGGCCUCAAGACAGUGAUCAGUAAGCCUAAGGAGAUAGCACAUCUGAUCAAAAACAAAUUUGGUUCUGCGGACAAUAUCAAGGAACUAGCAGGGGAGGAGGAGCGUGAUGAGGAGCGGGUGCAUCACGGGUCAGCUACGUUACCCGUAGGUGCAAGUUUGGUGCCUCCUACCUCCUCUAAUCAAGGGAGCAAUCUCCCAAGCAGUCAUCACCAGGGUUCUUCAGCUCAGGGUGCAGGUGGCAGCAGCAGUGGUGGCGGCCACCAUGGCAGCAAGAUUGGCUCGGAAGAAGGCUCGGAGUGUAAUUCUUCCAUCACCAGUGAAAGUGUUCCGGGAGGAAGCACUACCUUAGCUCACCUCGCAUCGCCCAGGAACCACCAUAGCCAGUUAACUAGUGUAGAUUUUUAUGGUUUACCUGGAGGAACAACUAUUGAACAGCUGCUGAUGGAGCUACGAGAGAGUCGGGAAGAAUCAACACGACUUAGAGAAGAGAUUGAUACAAUAAAACAAACAUUAGCAGCAGAAGUGAAUUCAAUGCGUGAUGGAUUAGCAGAAGAGCGUUUCCGAUGUGAUCGACUUGAAGAACAAAUAAAUGAUCUUACAGAGCUACACCAAAAUGAGAUGGGAAAUCUUGUAACUAAUAUGUCAGACAUGGAAGAAAAAGUGCAAUACCAGAGUGAAGAACGUAUACGGGACCUACAUGAGAUUGUGGAAAACUGUCACACAAGGAUUUCCCGGAUGGAACAUCAGCAAGCACAACAGCAGCAACAAUAUCUCACAUUAGAAGGUUUAGAGAACAGCAAUGCACGAGCUGUGUUUGUAAAGCUCAUCAACGUUUUAUUAACUGUGCUUCAGGUCUUGUUAUUGGUAGUAGCAACAGUGGCCAAUAUCCUGACACCACUACUUCAGACGCGAACCCGCCUUGUCGUUACAGCUUCAAUUGUUUUCUUCCUCGUCUUUGUUUACAUACAAUUACCCGAGUUGAAAGAGAUGUGGUUUGCAAUAGUUGAUCGAUAUUUAAAGUUUUUCACUACAAAGUAAAACAUUGUUCUGGUGGACAUAGUAUUAAAUGAACUAAAAUACUGAAAAACAGAGCAUACAGUGUAGUAAAAAAAAAUUGUUGUUCCUUGUAAUGGUAUGCACUCUUAGCAGUAUGGUUAAGAGAAUCAUUGACUUGUAUUCCAAGUGACUUAUUUUCUACAUUUUCAAGUUGACACAACUCGUCUGUCCAGUAACCACUUAAGCAAGAGAGUCAUAUUGAUUCCUUAGCUCAAAUAUUAUCAGAUAAGUGAGUUUGACUUGGUACUGGCACAAGUAUGCCAUAGUGUUUGAAGUUGGGUUUUGAACAUUUUCAACUAUGUAGCAAGUUGUUAAGUAUUUUAUGAUGAAUUACAGAAACGUUCUCAAAUGCAGCAUGAUAUUAUAUUUUGAACAAGGGACAUUUUAACUAUAGUUGCAAGAUGGCUUUCGAGACUGGCAAGAAGAAACAAGUGAGCAGCUUGGUGAUGCAGUUGAAUAUGAAUACCCAAGUGUGUGUUGGCAUGACAUUGAAAUGAUCAAAUAAACAAUUUCCUCCAGCUACAGAUGCAGCUUGGAAAUAAAGAAGAUGGUUGGCUCUUGUGGGGCUCGUGUGAUAGCAUGAACCAAAGUUGGACAAAAUAAGGUACUGCAUUUUUUUUUUUCCAUUUUUUUCUUUCUUUUCUUUUAGAAUGUAAAACAGAAACCCUCUUUUUGGGCAUAGUUUACUAGCCUCAAGGAUAAAUGAUCAAGGUGAGUACACGUAGUUAACAGAUCAGUGGUCAGCAUGAAAUCAAACCAAUGAUUAUUUGGUAGAUUAGAGUGGUCACCUAGUUGUGCAUUACUUGAAUGAACCCUUGGAAUCACAUAUUCCUGCCAGUAUUUUAUAAAAUUUGAGCUACUUCUACUACCACCACCAUAUGCUGAUGACAGAUCCGUUACUAGUAGUGCUGAUGGUUGAUGAUUUACUCUGCUCUCUAUUUUACACGGAUCAUCUGUCUGUUCCUGUUAUCUUGUUGAGCGGUCUGUGAUGAAAUGAACUGUUAGAACAGACCCAUUCCCCCCCAUCCCCAUCAUAAAAAAUGUUUUUGCUCUCUUUCUAUAAUUCAUCACAAUGUUUGUUUUCACUUGUUAUUCUAGGGUGGUUAAACAAAUUUUUGCAGAUUUGAAAUUAUGGAGUGAAGGUAUUUUGGAUUCUUGAAUGGUGCUGGUGGAAAUGUAUGCUGUUCAAAGUACAGUAGUUCUUCAGUGUGUACUGAAUAGGUACCAUGUUUGUGGGUUCCUACUGCAAGGCUGUGGGUCUCCACCUGCAAUACCAGCAUUAUUCACACCUGACAUUCAUAGUCAAAUUUUAUUAAUAGCUUUUUAAUAUUAAAUGUUUUUGAAAAACAUCUUGAAUUUUUGUGGACUGAAUUCAUUGUCACCUAUAAGUCAAAACAGCUGACCAGAUGUCUGUCAAUCUAUUUAGUAUUUAUAUAAAAAUUCUUAGUCACUGAAUUGCCUUGAAAAUGUAUGUGUGUGUGUGUGUGUGUGUGUGUGUGUGUGUGUGUGUGUGUGUGUGUGUGUGUGUGUGUGUGUGUGAGAGAGAGAGAGAGAGAGAGAGAGAGAGAGAGAGA